rnacentral:tRNA from 1 species
GGAGAGGUGCUAGAGUGGCCGAUUAGGUACGCUUGGAAAGCGUAUGUACCCCAAAAGGGUACCGAGGGUUCGAAUCCCUCUCUCUCCG